rnacentral:rRNA from 1 species
UACGUAGGUGGCAAGCGUUGUCCGGAUUUAUUGGGUUUAAAGGGUGCGUAGGUGGUCAAUUAAGUCAGUGCUGAAAUAUCCCGGCUUAACCGGGAGGGUGGCAUUGAUACUGAAUGACUUGAGUGGAGUUGAGGUAGGCGGAAUUGACGGUGUAGCGGUGAAAUGCUUAGAUAUCGUCAAGAACACCGAUAGCGAAGGCAGCUUACCAAGCUCUAACUGACACUGAUGCACGAAAGUGUGGGGAUCAAGCAGG